CCCCCCCCCUGUGACCGAGUGACUUUCAUGAUUACCCCCAAACCCGUGGUGUUUCACAGGUUAAAGACUUUUUGAAGUAAAGAGGAGCAUCUCAUCUGAACCUGAUGUCUAUCAUGGAUAUUUAACUGCAGUUCUGUGAGUAUCCCAACUUAAUCAUGAAGAUGAACUGCAAACUGUAAGUCAUAAGUUUCUCACUACUCUUGGGCACAUUGAUGUAUUUGGCUUCCUGAUGAGUUAACCCGUUACCUGAAGGUUGAUCUCAGUAAUAAGGAUGUUUUAUUGGUUCAUGGGUUACUUAGGUGUUUGGUUUAUGUUGGUUUUAAGGAUUUGUUAAAAUGGUUGCAGGCUCCAAGUUAUUGUUGUAAGCUGGAGUAAUGGGUUGGGUUCUGAUGUCUUCAGUCUUCUUUCCAGCUACUCUCCUGAGCUCUGCAUCUUCAUCACAUGAGUGUUGCUUUGCUGAUGAGGGUGUGGUAUGAGUGAGCAGAGGUGCAUACUGGGAUACAGAGCUGUCUGAAGUCUAGAGGGCUGUAGAAACGCCCCCUCAGGGGUAACCGAGUGUUUGAGAAACUGUCGUGACGUCAGUUACAUGGACUGGAAUGUUCUUAAAGAUGGAGACAGGGGUUCAGAAGAAGAAACACCAGGGAGAGAUGAGGGGGCUCCUCAUCUCAACGACUAAAACACAACUUCAGUCUGACACGGAACCAUGGAACACAUUCAACAGUCCCCUCCAGCCAUCGUGACUCCUCAGGAACGGUUUCAUUUCCAAGAAGGUCUUAUUUGGGGCCAUCCCCAUAUGGAUCCUGCUCCUCAAGAGCCACCCCCCUCCACUGGGUGCUCUUCUGAACAGAUGACCUCCUUCCUGUCCUCAGGCUGACUAAAGCUGCACCGUUUGCAUCUGUGAAGGCCCCUCAUUCAGGAAACCACUGGACUACAAAGACAUGACUUCAGAGAUGUUGAAUCAACCUGGGAUUUUGGAAGACGCCAAGCAUAAUCCAUCACCAAUGUGGGACGCCACUGAAGAAUGUUGUACAUAAUUUACGUCUCUGGAGACAUUGGUUGUUCUGUUAUGGUUGCCCUGGCAGGAGAGCUGGGGUGGGGGGGGGAGGGUGAUGGAAUGUUAUUUGGCAUGAGGUUUUGACCCUGCAUGAUUGUUUGGCCUUUUAUGGCUCAGUGAUGUGCGUGCGUGCGUGUGUGUGUGUGUGUGUGUGUUUGGGUUUGACAUGAGAUGGAAGAUUUUUGAGCAUCACUAGGGUUCUACUGUGUGUGUGUGUGUCUCCCACUCACACCUGGCAUGGGGUUCUACGUGCCUGUCCUGGGUUCUGUGUGUGGCUUGCUUUGACAGUGAUAAUGUUCAUACGGGGGUUUGUGUGAUUUGCUUGGGAUAUUGGAAUGGGCAACUAAAUCAUACCUGAUGGACGGCCACACAUUUACUUAAGGGCCUCCAGUAGACAUGAAGAGCCCUGAGCGAUGCUCCGGAGAGAGAUCCAACACACUGGGCAGGAAGGAGAGUAUCCAAAUCAAGGGUAAAAGGAUGCAAGCGGCGUGUUCAGAUCAGUGACUUCAAACUAGGACUACACCAAUCCGGAUCAAUGGAGGAUGGACACCAAAAGGAAUUCUGACGUUGGAAAGAGUCUGACGUUGGAAAGGGACCUAAAUGGAUAUUCAAGAUGACCUUCAGACCUGUAAUGAGACGGCUCUUCCUACCAGCCUGGAUUGAUGGAGAGCCCUGUGGAUCUUGUCUUGCUCUCAGUUGCACGUCUUCUCAGGCUGAACUCUAAUUGUCUCGGACAGGACUAGCUGAACGAUUGGUUCCCUUAAAUCAGAACCAAUCCGGGAACUCCAGCUAGUGCGCUCUUCGAGCUGAAGUUGUGCUCUUCAGCUGAGGAGGUAAGGAAACCUUCACUGGGGCUUCAAGAUGUAAAGAGGAGAAUUUUUCAAAGUGUUCCAUGGUACUCUGAUGAAGACCGUUGGUGUGUUCCACUGGCUGAGAGGAAGAACCCAGACAUCUUCCUCUUGGCCUUUCUCCUCUCAGAAUCCUGGCGCCAUCUUGAAGGAUAUUCCAGCUCAUGUAACUGAUGUCACGACAGAUUCACAAACACUUGGUUUCUCCUGAGGGGCGUUUCUAUAGAACUGAAGACUUCAGACAGCACUGUAUCCCAGCAUGCAUCUCUGCUCACUCAGACUACACCCCCAUGAGUAGGAUGCAACAUUCUAGUGAUGGAGAUGUAGUGUUUUAUAAGUAACGAGGGAGCAGACUAAGGGGAUUAGAACACAAUGGCAUGUCAAGUCUGUAAAUCUUUAAACCAUGAAGAUGGUUGGAAAAGUCAGGAAUUGGGCUUAUUUUUAAUAUGGGCAGUCCUUUCACUCGGAUGCUCACUUCUCACUGGAAAUGUACAUGCGUUGGCUGGCUGGCAUGAUUUGCUGUUGGUGAUGAGGUGGUCAGGGUGACGUUGCAGGGCUAUGGUCGGCUCUCUGUGAGCUCAACGUUUAGAUUUUCUCUGUAUGGUUUGGACCCUGAAUAAUCUAGAUAAUUGUAAAAUGUAGACACGAUUUUGCAUUGAAUGAUUCCAGGAUUUUAGGUUUAAAGUUGUUGUACAUGGUAGUUUAGUUCUUCGUAUGGUUUUGAGUGAUUAUAACUUGUACACACUGGGUGCAUAAUGUAAUGUUACACUGAAUAGUAUUAAUGACCAACAGCAACAAAAAGAUCUCCUCAAGGUAAGUCUGUUGGCUGUAUUUUAAUGAAGACCAUCGCUGGACUUCAGGAUCUUCCUCCGUUCAGCUCAAGGUGAGGCGCUGGUUAUUUUUCUUUGGUUGGUUCCGGCCGGAAUGUUCGGAUUCCAGUCGGACGGUUUGUGCUUCCCGCCGUGGAAGGUUCUGAGUGAGGUCACUUGAUUUAGUCCCAAUGGUUAGCAUAGAAAGUUGUAGUCUUGACAACCAUAAGAAACCACCUGGCAGUUAGUUGGACGGGAGUCCCCUAAGGGAAUCUGGCAGAACGUUCUGGAUUGUAUUUGCGUAACCUCGAGCCGUUGGCAACGGAAACUAUUUUUCAGUCGGUUUCCAUUGGGAAUUGUUGCCCUCUAUCUCAAACAACUUAAUUUCCGAUGGUUGCGCCGUACUUUUAACCACGUUGACGGGACUCUCGCUGCGUACAAAACGGCGUUCUACUUGUGGCCAAAUUUUUGACAUCGGUGAAGGCUGAAAAUCAUUUCAAGGUGGAAGACAAUUUGACAUUUCUUCAAAGGAACCCAGCACCUGAAUGAGUUGAGUAAAUUUGAUUUUAAUAUUGAUACUGCUUAGUGUUCAUUGUUACUUCACCUUUUGUACGUUCUAAAUAUAUGUUGUCAUUAAUUGCCACAGAACUUUGCCACCCAGAGCAAGACCUCCACCUCCUUACCCAGAGCCAGACCUUCACCUCCUGUCAGAAGUCCUCCAGAACAGCACAAAGGUGAGGCUGAGAGGCUUGGGACCGGAGGCUUGUGGUGCCAGGAUGGACCUGAGGCUGGAGACCAGGGGCCUGCGGUACUGGACCAGAGGACCAGGAAUCCAUGGCUGAAGGAGCUGAUGGAGGAGCCGCGCUGAAGGCCCUGCCUGGUGGAGGAGCUGAUGGAGGCCCUGCCUGGUGGAGGAGCUGAUGGAGGCCCUGCCUGGUGGAGGAGCUGAUGGAGGCCCUGCCUGGUGGAGGAGCCAUGCUGAAGGCCCUGCCUGGUGGAGGAGCUGACGGAGGCCCUGCCUGGUGGAGGAUGUCUGUCGUGGGGACUCUGGUUUGGAGGAGAGCUGAUGGGGAGCUGAUGGGGAGCUGAUGGAGGAGCUGAGUCGCUGGAGGACGACUAGGAAUCGACCAACAAGGAUUCCUCAACGUGUUUCUGGAGCAGAGGGGAGCUGGUAGGGGAGCCGUUAAUCUGGAGGAUGACCAUCACUCUACCAACAAGGAUUACCAGGACUCUGGCUGAGGAGCGCUGAUGGAGGAGCCAAGACUCUGGAGGACGACAUCACUCUACCAACAAAGAUCCUCAGCCCAACUGCUCCUGUGUUUGACCUUACAAUAGAGACAAAUUACAUUACCAGACCAGGAAUCUGGAGGACUGACGGAGAAGCCGUACAUCUGGAAGGCAAAUCCUGAGGAUGACCAGGACUCUACCAUCAAGGAUUCCUCACACACCUGAGCUGAACCUCACCUGAUCCUGUUUGGUCGGGGGAAGACGCACCUGAGCUGAACCUCACCUGAUUGGUCGGGGGCAGACUCACCUGAGCUGCACCUCACCUGAUCCUGUUUGGUGGGGGGCAGACUCACCUGAGCUGAACCCACCCUGAUCCUGACAUCCUGCUGGUCCCGUCUCCUCAGUUCAUCUGAGCCUCGUCCUCCAGAAGACCUGCUGAGCUCAGCGGUCUGAGGCUGAUGGAUCAAUGACCUCCAGUGGGAGUGAUCUUCUUGACCCCACAUGUAGCCGUGUGCUUCCACACGCCUUUCCCUCACGUCUGCCACUAACCUCACUACUUCACUACUCUCUACUGCUUCCUCUUUUCUUCCUUCUCUGUGGUUCAAACCUUUUAUACUGAAGGCGCGUCUUCCUGCCCUCAGAGGGUUUAGCGUUAGGGUUGAGAGUCAGGGUUUAGAGUCAGGGACAGAGCUGGUCAGGGAGGACUGCUUUUACACAAACCUCUUCACUUGCUUUCGGAAUGGUGGUGACAUUUUGAAAAGAUUCAUUGGGGAAAAUGUUUUCCUCUGCUUUCCUUUACAAAUUGUAUUCAACUUCUGUCAAGUGUUUUUGUUUAUAUUAAAAUCCCACAUUGACUUCUACAUGUUUGUUGCUGUUCAUUUAAUUGUCCUUUAACUUGGUUAAUGUCAAGCUAAACUCCUGCAAUACAUUUAAUAUACAUGAUUGUUAUUCUGCAAUGUUCACAUAUUCCAUUUUGAAAAAAUAUGAAACCUCCAUAUUACUACUAAAUUCAAG
ensembl:lncRNA